rnacentral:rRNA from 1 species
UGAGGAAUUUUCGGCAAUGGGGGAAACCCUGACCGAGCAAUACUACGUGAAGGAUGAAGGUCUAAGGAUUGUAAACUUCUGUUAGCGCGGAAGAAGGGCUAAACGUGAGUUUAGUUUUGACGGUACGCGCAGAGAAAGCAACGACUAACUAUGUGCCAGCAGUCGCGGUAAGACAUAGGUUGCGAACGUUAUCCGGAAUUAUUGGGCGUAAAGGAUGCGUAGAUGGUUUGAUAAGUUAUCAGUGGGAAAUCGGGGCUCAACCUCGUGGAAGCUGGUAAUACUGUCAUACUCGAGUGCAGGAGAAGUUAACGGAACUCUAUAUGGAGCGGUAAAAUGUGACGAUAUAUAGAAGAACACCAAUAAGGCGAAGGCAGUUAACUAUUCUGUUACUGACAUUGAGGCAUGAAAGCGUGGGGAGCAAAACGGAUUAGAUACCCGUGUAGUCC